UGAAAGUGAAGAACCUGAGUGUGAGACCCCAAAUGAUGGAAGUAUUAAGGAGACAGGGCAACACUUUCAGAUGCCACACUGGACCGAGAGUUUUUUGGUCUAUUUUGGACGAGACCCUAAGAGACCAGGCAACAAAACCAAGAGAAAACAAGUCAGACCAGGAGGCCGCUGUGCAGCCAAGGACUCAGUCACAGGGUGAAGAAACAAAGCACAGAGCUGGAAAAACCAUUGUCCUAUCCAGGACAGUAAGGAGCUAAAAGGCCCAAAGGAAAAAAAAAGUUAUCAUGGGUCACUCAUGAGCAUCAAAUCAGUCUUCCGACAUCCAUUUGUCCUCAUGUGUCUCUGCAGACCUGAUCAGGCACACCCCAAAUCCGUGGAAUCCUGGAGCCACCCUCCUCUGCUCUGCCUCCCAUCCAUCUGCAGCCUCUGAUUGGACCUUCAUGUCGGGCUCCGCCCACCUCUCCCCCUGACCUGCCUCAUCCCAUCAGCUUAUCCACAAGGGUGGUUGGGUGCUCCACUGCUUGGGGGUGGAAGGGUGGAACCGUUCCUGUUUUAUCCCAUUUCGAACACCUUUGUGGGUGCAUGAGAAUAUGAAGAAAUCCUGAGGGAGCAGGCCACGGGCCUUCCUAGCUUGAGACCUGUGCCUGCACCACAGACCCUAUGAAAGCCCCGUGAAAGCAUUCCAGGAUGUAAUAAACCCGUCAGGCCUCGGCUAAUUUA